GAACGGGAAAUACUUUAUUGAAACUUCGGUGGAUUUAAUUUAUUUCUAGUGGCGGACGGGUGAGUAACGCGUGGGUAACCUGCCUUAUACCGGGGGAUAACAGCCAGAAAUGGCUGCUAAUACCGCAUAAGCGCACAGAACCGCAUGGUUCCGUGUGAAAAACUCCGGUGGUAUAAGAUGGACCCGCGUUGGAUUAGCUAGUUGGCAGGGCAGCGGCCUACCAAGGCGACGAUCCAUAGCCGGCCUGAGAGGGUGAACGGCCACAUUGGGACUGAGACACGGCCCAGACUCCUACGGGAGGCAGCAGUGGGGAAUAUUGCACAAUGGGGGAAACCCUGAUGCAGCGACGCCGCGUGAAGGAAGAAGUAUCUCGGUAUGUAAACUUCUAUCAGCAGGGAAGAUAAUGACGGUACCUGACUAAGAAGCCCCGGCUAACUACGUGCCAGCAGCCGCGGUAAUACGUAGGGGGCAAGCGUUAUCCGGAUUUACUGGGUGUAAAGGGAGCGUAGACGGCGCAGCAAGUCUGAUGUGAAAGGCAGGGGCUUAACCCCUGGACUGCAUUGGAAACUGCUGUGCUUGAGUGCCGGAGGGGUAAGCGGAAUUCCUAGUGUAGCGGUGAAAUGCGUAGAUAUUAGGAGGAACACCAGUGGCGAAGGCGGCUUACUGGACGGUAACUGACGCUGAGGCUCGAAAGCGUGGGGAGCAAACAG
rnacentral:rRNA from 1 species